CAAUAGCGUAUAUUAAAGUUGUUGCAGUUAAAAAGCUCGUAGUUGAAUUUCUGUCAGGAGCGACCGGGCCUUUGGAUGAACUUCCAUUGUUUUUUGCUCUGUUUGUCGUCUCUAGACAUCCUAAAUUACAUUUCUUGUAAUUUUCUUUUACUGUUAGCAAAAUAGAGUGUUCCAAGCAAAGCGUAGUUUUGAAUACAUUAGAAUGGAAUAAUAAGAUAGGACUUUGGUGCUAUUUUGUUGGUUUGCACACCAAGGUAAUGAUUAAUAGGGACAGUUGGGGGUAUUCGUAUUUAAUUGUCAGAGGUGAAAUUCUUGGAUUUAUGAAAGACGAACUACUGCGAAAGCAUUUACCAAGGAUGUUUUCAUUAA
rnacentral:rRNA from 1 species